AGGGAAGUGGUGAGAGAAAGAGUGAAACAGACUGCCAGAGGAAGAGAGUGAAACAGACUGGAAGAGGAAGAGAGUGAAACAGACUGCCAGAGGAAGAGGGAGGGAAGUGGUGGGAGAAAGAGUGAAACAGACUGCCAGAGGAAGAGAGUGAAACAGACUGGAAGAGGAAGAGGAAGAGAGAGGGAAGUGGUGGGAGAAAGAGUGAAACAGACUGCCAGAGGAAGAGGAAGAGAGAGGGAAGUGGUGGGAGAAAGAGUGAAACAGACUGCCAGAGGAAGAGAAGGAAGGUGAAACAGACUGCCAGAGGAAGAGAGUGAAACAGACUGCCAGAGGAAGAGU
ensembl:lncRNA